GAUGAACGCUAGCGGGAGGCUUAACACAUGCAAGUCGAGGGGCAGCAUAGGGUAGCAAUACUCUGAUGGCGACCGGCAAACGGGUGAGUAACGCGUAUGCAACCUACCCUGUACAGGGGGAUAACCCGGAGAAAUUCGGACUAAUAUCCCGUAAUAAUAUCCGGAGGCAUCUUUGGAUAUUUAAAGUUCCGACGGUACGGGAUGGGCAUGCGUAACAUUAGCUGGUUGGUAAGGUAACGGCUUACCAAGGCUAUGAUGUUUAGGGGUCCUGAGAGGGUGGUCCCCCACACUGGUACUGAGACACGGACCAGACUCCUACGGGAGGCAGCAGUGAGGAAUAUUGGUCAAUGGGCGCAAGCCUGAACCAGCCAUCCCCGGUGCAGGAAGACGGCCCUAUGGGUUGUAAACUGCUUUUCCAGGGAGAGAAACUUACGCACGUGUUGCGUGACUGACGGUACCCUGGGAAUAAGCAUCGGCUAACUCCGUG
rnacentral:rRNA from 1 species